UACGAAGGGGGCGAGCGUUGUUCGGAAUUACUGGGCGUAAAGGGCGCGCAGGCGGCCUUAGAAGUCAGAUGUGAAAGCCCCGGGCUCAACCUGGGAAUGGCAUUUGAUACUCUGAGGCUGGAGUACGGGAGAGGAGAGUGGAAUUCCCAGUGUAGAGGUGAAAUUCGUAGAUAUUGGGAGGAACACCGGUGGCGAAGGCGGCUCUCUAGUACGGUACUGACGCUGAGACGCGAAAGCGUGGGGAGCGAACAGG
rnacentral:rRNA from 1 species